rnacentral:rRNA from 1 species
CCUACGGGUGGCAGCAGUGAGGAAUAUUGGUCAAUGGGCGCAAGCCUGAACCAGCCAAGUCGCGUGAGGGAUGACGGUCCUAUGGAUUGUAAACCUCUUUUGUCGGGGAGCAAGGCCCGCCGCGUGUGGCGGGAAGGAGAGUAACCGAAGAAAAAGCAUCGGCUAACUCCGUGCCAGCAGCCGCGGUAAUACGGAGGAUGCGAGCGUUAUCCGGAUUUAUUGGGUUUAAAGGGUGCGCAGGCGGAAGCGACAAGUCAGCGGUAAAAUUGCGGGGCUCAACCUCGCGGAGCCGUUGAAACUGCUCUUCUAGAGUGGGCGAGAAGUAUGCGGAAUGCGUGGUGUAGCGGUGAAAUGCAUAGAUAUCACGCAGAACUCCGAUUGCGAAGGCAGCAUACCGGCGCCCAACUGACGCUCAUGCACGAAAGCGUGGGUAUCGAACAGGAUUAGAUACCCUAGUAGUC